rnacentral:rRNA from 1 species
CUACGCACUCCUACGGGAGGCAGCAGUGGGGAAUAUUGCACAAUGGGCGCAAGCCUGAUGCAGCCAUGCCGCGUGUAUGGAAGAAGGCCUUCGGGUUGUAAAGUACUUUCAGCAGUGAGGAAGGUGGGUAUGUUAAUAGCAUAUUCAUUUGACGUUAGCUGCAGAAGAAGCACCGGCUAACUCCGUGCCAGCAGCCGCGGUAAUACGGAGGGUGCGAGCGUUAAUCGGAAUUACUGGGCGUAAAGCGCAUGCAGGUGGUUUGUUAAGUCAGAUGUGAAAGCCCGGGGCUCAACCUCGGAAUUGCAUUUGAAACUGGCAAACUAGAGUACUGUAGAGGGGGUAGAAUUUCAGGUGUAGCGGUGAAAUGCGUAGAGAUCUGAAGGAAUACCGGUGGCGAAGGCGGCCCCCUGGACAGAUACUGACACUCAGAUGCGAAAGCGUGGGGAGCAAACAGGAUUAGAUACCCUGAUAG